rnacentral:rRNA from 1 species
GAUGAACGCUGGCGGCGUGCCUAAUACAUGCAAGUCGAGCGAACGGACGAGAAGUUUGCUUUUUUGAUGAUAGCGGCGGACGUGUGAGUAACACGUGCAUAACCUCCCUAUCAGACUGGGAUAACUUCGGGACACCGGAUCUAAUACCGUACAAUAUUUUGAACCGCAUUGUUCAACAGUGAAAGACGGUCUUGAUGUCUCUUAUCGCGGGCUCCGCGCUGCAUUAGCUAGUUGUUAAGGUAACGGCUUACCAAGGCAACGAUGCAUAGCCGACCUGAGAGGGUGAUAGCCGACACUGGAGCGGAGACGCGGUCAAGACGACUAAGAGAGGCAGCAGUAGGGAACGGUACGCAGUGGGCGGAAGCCUGACGGAGCAGCGGCGCGUGAGUGGUGAAGGUGUUCGGAUAGUAAAACUCUGUUACUAGGGAAGAACAUAUGUGUAAGGAGAUGUGCACAUAGUGACGGUACCUAAUCAGAAAGCGACGGCUAACUACGUG